CAGCUGACAGCUGACCAUAGAUAACCUAACCUGUUUGUUUAUAUUUACAUAACCGUUACAGUCGGAGCCGGAAACUUUCUGAUUUUUAUUCGACUUAUUACACUAAUUAAAUGAGACCAUUGAUAUUGAUACUUUGAAAGCAAUCUGAUGAUUACAUGCAUUAAGAGUUCUUCUUUUGGGUACAUCAAACUUUCCAUUUUCCAAAAAUAAAAGUAAUAUUAGAUGAUCGAAAUACUCAAAAAUCUGGAGCAUUCUCAAAUAA